UAGGGAAUCUUGCGCAAUGGGCGAAAGCCUGACGCAGCCAUGCCGCGUGAAUGAUGAAGGUCUUAGGAUUGUAAAAUUCUUUCACCGGGGAAGAUAAUGACGGUACCCGGAGAAGAAGCCCCGGCUAACUUCGUGCCAGCAGCCGCGGUAAUACGAAGGGGGCUAGCGUUGCUCGGAAUUACUGGGCGUAAAGGGCGCGUAGGCGGAUAUCUAAGUUGGGGGUGAAAGCCCGGGGCUCAACCUCGGAAUAGCCUUCAAUACUGGAUAUCUUGAGUUCGGGAGAGGUGAGUGGAAUGCCGAGUGUAGAGGUGAAAUUCGUAGAUAUUCGGCGGAACACCAGUGGCGAAGGCGACUCACUGGCCCGAUACUGACGCUGAGGCGCGAAAGCGUGGGGAGCAAACAGGAUUAGAUACCCUGGUAGUCCACGCCGUAAAACGAUGAGUGCUAGUUGUCGGCAUGCAUGCAUGUCGGUGACGCAGCUAACGCAUUAAGCACUCCGCCUGGGGAGUACGGUCGCAAGAUUAAAAACUCAAAUGAAUUGAC
rnacentral:rRNA from 1 species